rnacentral:misc_RNA from 1 species
CUAUUAUGAAAAUUUUUGUUCAGUGGCAAACCAUUCCUUAGUGCUAUAUUAUGGUUUCCUUGGAAAGUGCAAACCAGUUCAGGAAAUCAUGUUAGUAAAUUUGCAUACCUCAUUGAUUUCUUCAAGGAUGUUAUUUAUGCAGUCCCUUCUUUUCUACUGAUCGCAGAAUGAAUGAUUUUGAAGUGAGGAAGGCAGCAGACAGGGAGAAAAGUGAUAAUAACUCUGUACUGUCUAAAUGCUUUUCUGCUAGGAGGCAACGAAAUUGGUCUUUCUAUUGAUAAAUAAGUGUUUUA